CUAAUAAUGGGUUCUUCCAUCUAACAGAGAAAGGUAGAACAUGAUCUGAUGGCUCGAAGUUGAAGCUAGACAAAUUGAGACAUGAAAUAAGGCAUACAUUUAUAACAUCCCAUAUCGGCUGCUGUAUGGAUAGGCUGUCCUGCCUUGGGUGGAAUCAGACAGUCUCAGAUGCUGUAGUUGACUUGCUUUGCAGUGGCUGACUCACAAAAAAAAACACAAAAAAAGAGGACUAAGAUUCUGCAGCUGUAAAACUCUGGAACAGUGAUUCUGCCCAUAUCAAGCAAGUCAAUAAUCAAAAUGAAAGAGCCACUCUCUAUCCAACCAUCCCCAUGGAGCAACUUUACAAGACUGAAAGAUAAUCUUCAAGCACUAUAGGUCUGAUCCAAAGCCCACUGAAGUCAAUGAGAUUCUUUCCAUUGCUUUCAGUGGAGUUUGUUUGAAGACCUGGACUGAAAUCAAGCUAGCACUACAGCUGAUGCACCACACCCACAACAUCUCUAUCAACCCUCAGUAUAUGCUUAAGUGUACAGAAGAUACAAGGCAAGGCUUCAGACUUACAAUAAGUUGCAUCCCACCACGUAUUCUCCUCCAGCUGUCCUUAGCUCUCUUUUGCUGCU